rnacentral:rRNA from 1 species
UACGUAGGGGGCAAGCGUUGUCCGGAUUUAUUGGGUGUAAAGAGCGUGUAGGCGGCCUGACAGGUCUGCUGUGAAAACUCGAGGCUCAACCUCGAGAUGUCGGCGGAAACCGUCUGGCUAGAGUCCGGAAGAGGAGAGUGGAAUUCCUGGUGUAGCGGUGAAAUGCGCAGAUAUCAGGAGGAACACCAAUGGCGAAGGCAGCUCGCUGGGACGUGACUGACGCUGAGACGCGAAAGCGUGGGGAGCAAACAGG